AACGAACGCUGGCGGCAUGCCUAACACAUGCAAGUCGAACGAACCCUUCGGGGUUAGUGGCGCACGGGUGCGUAACGCGUGGGAAUCUGCCCUUUGCUUCGGAAUAACAGUUAGAAAUGACUGCUAAUACCGGAUGAUGUCUUCGGACCAAAGAUUUAUCGGCAAAGGAUGAGCCCGCGGAGGAUUAGGUAGUUGGUGGGGUAAAGGCCUACCAAGCCGACGAUCCUUAGCUGGUCUGAGAGGAUGAUCAGCCACACUGGGACUGAGACACGGCCCAGACUCCUACGGGAGGCAGCAGUGGGGGAUAUUGGACAAUGGACGCAAGUCUGAUCCAGCAAUGCCGCGUGAGUGAUGAAGGCCUUAGGGUUGUAAAGCUCUUUUACCAGGGAUGAUAAUGACAGUACCUGGAGAAUAAGCUCCGGCUAACUCCGUGCCAGCCGCCGCAGUAAAAC
rnacentral:rRNA from 1 species